rnacentral:rRNA from 1 species
CCUACGGGGGGCAGCAGUGGGGAAUAUUGCGCAAUGGGGGCAACCCUGACGCAGCCAUGCCGCGUGAAUGAAGAAGGCCUUCGGGUUGUAAAGUUCUUUCGGUAGCGAGGAAGGCAUUUAGUUUAAUAGACUAGGUGAUUGACGUUAACUACAGAAGAAGCACCGGCUAACUCCGUGCCAGCAGCCGCGGUAAUACGGAGGGUGCGAGCGUUAAUCGGAAUAACUGGGCGUAAAGGGCACGCAGGCGGUGACUUAAGUGAGGUGUGAAAGCCCCGGGCUUAACCUGGGAAUUGCAUUUCAUACUGGGUCGCUAGAGUACUUUAGGGAGGGGUAGAAUUCCACGUGUAGCGGUGAAAUGCGUAGAGAUGUGGAGGAAUACCGAAGGCGAAGGCAGCCCCUUGGGAAUGUACUGACGCUCAUGUGCGAAAGCGUGGGGAGCAAACAGGAUUAGAUACCCGGGUAGUC